CCAAUCGAACCCGGAGAUAGCUGGUUCUCCUCGAAAUAGCUUUAGGGCUAGCCUCGGUGUGAGUCUUGCGGAGGUAGAGCACUGAAUUUCCUAGGGGGCGUCAAAGCCUACCGAAGAAUAUCAAACUCCGAAUGCCGUGUAGAUAUCACCGGGAGUCAGACUGCACGAGAUAAGUUGGGCGGUCAAAAGGGAAAGAGCCCAGACCUACAGUUAAGGUCCCAAAGUGCGCGUUAAGUGGAAAAGGAUGUGGGAUUUCGAAGACAACCAGGAUGUUGGCUCAGAAGCAGCCAUACAUUCAAAGAGUGCGUAAUAGCUCACUGGUCGAGAGGUCCUGCGCCGAAAAUGUCCGGGGCUGAAACGCGCCACCGAAACUAAGGAAUCCGUAAGGAUUGGUAGAGGAGCAUUGCAUAUGGGAAGAAGCAGUACCGUAAGGAGCUGUGGACUAUAUGGAAGAGAGAAUGCCGGAAUGAGUAGCGAGAUAGAGGUGGGAAUCCUCUAGGCCGAAUAUCCAAGGUUUCCAGGGUAAAGCUGAUCUGCCCUGGGUGAGUCGGGACCUAAGGUGAGGGCGAGAGCCGUAGCCGAUGGACAACAGGUUGAUAUUCCUGUACUGCAGUAUAACAGAACUGUGGGGACACGUAAGGAGAGCGGGAGCCGGGAAUGGAAAGCCCGGUACAAGCGAGGUACCAGUAUGGUAGGAAAAACCGCCAUGCAAUGGGAAGACGUGAUGUGGAGUGAAAUAUAGUAACGAAGCCCGUGAGCCAUGCGUCAAGAAAAGCCGCUAUUGUUUAUAUUGUACCCGUACCGUAAACCGACACAGGUGGAUGAGGAGAGAAUCCUAAGGCCGGCGGAAGAAGUAUUGCCAAGGAACUCGGCAAAAUGGCCCCGUAACUUAGGGAGAAGGGGUGCCUGCGAGAGCAGGCCGCAGAGAAUAGGCUCAAGCAACUGUUUAGCAAAAACACAGGUCUAUGCGAAACCGAAAGGUGAGGUAUAUGGGCUGACGCCUGCCCGGUGCUGGAAGGUUAAGAGGAGAGGUUAGCGCAAGCGAAGCUUUGAAUUUAAGCCCCAGUAAACGGCGGCCGUAACUAUAACGGUCCUAAGGUAGCGAAAUUCCUUGUCGGGUAAGUUCCGACCCGCACGAAAGGCGUAAUGAUUUGAGCGCUGUCUCGGCAAUACAUCCGGUGAAAUUGAAGUGCCAGUGAAGAUGCUGGCUACCCGCGCCAGGACGGAAAGACCCCAUGGAGCUUUACUCCAGUUUGGCACUGGGGUCCGGUGUUGCAUGUACAGGAUAGGUGGGAGGCUGAGAGAUAGUGACGUCAGUUGCUAUGGAGCCGCUGUUGGGAUACCACCCUUGUGAUAUUGGGCUUCUAACCAGCCGCCGUAAUCCGGCGGUGGGACAAUGCCAGGCGGGGAGUUUGACUGGGGCGGUCGCCUCCGAAAGGGUAUCGGAGGCGCCCAAAGGUUCCCUCAGAAUGGACGGAAACCAUUCGAAGAGUGCAAAGGCAGAAGGGAGCUUGACUGCGACACCGACGG
rnacentral:rRNA from 1 species